rnacentral:rRNA from 1 species
CCUACGGGAGGCAGCAGUGGGGAAUAUUGCACAAUGGGGGAAACCCUGAUGCAGCGACGCCGCGUGAGUGAAGAAGUAUCUCGGUACGUAAAGCUCUAUCAGCAGGGAAGAAAAUGACGGUACCUGACUAAGAAGCCCCGGCUAACUACGUGCCAGCAGCCGCGGGAAGACGGAGGGGGCAAGCGUGAUCCGGAUUUACUGGGUGUAAAGGGAGCGUAGACGGCAGCACAAGUCUGGAGUGAAAUCCCGGGGCUUAACCCCGGAACGGCCUUGGAAACUGUGCGGCUGGAGUGCAGGAGGGGUAAGCGGAAUUCCUGGUGUAGCGGUGAAAUGCGGAGAUAUUAGGAGGAACACCAGUGGCGAAGGCGGCUUACUGGACUGUAACUGACGUUGAGGCUCGAAAGCGUGGGGAGCAAACAGGAUUAGAUACCCGAGUAGUC